rnacentral:rRNA from 1 species
AUGGCUUCAGCCGCGACGUUUCCGAAGCUCCAGCUUGGUCCGCGAUGCCUCGGCUUCUCCCAGCUUCAGGCGACCGACCCGGUUCAUAUCCACAUGAAGAUUGGUGAUGCCUGCAAGUGCCCCAUGCCUGCCCAAGGGUUGCUUGUUUCGACCGGGAGAAGUGCGAGGCACACAUUCCUGCCGGUGUCGGCGGCUCGAUCAGGUCGGGCCGCAUCGGUCGCCGAGGCCGAGAAGACCGGGCUCUCGCUGGAUAGCUUCAAGACAACCGUUGUCAAACGUGACGAAGAAAAGAUCCAUUUAAGAAUCGAGCUGCCCGGGAAGGAAACGCAGAAGGUGUUUGAUGCAGCCCUGACGAGCCUGGCCAAGGACGCGCCGCCGGUACCAGGUUUCAGAAGGUCCAAGGGAGGGAAAACAUCAAAUAUACCAAGCAGCAUUCUCCUGUCGAUGCUCGGCAAGAGCCGGGUCACCAAGUUCAUCCUUCAAGAAAUACUCAGCGUCACCGUCGGCGAUUUCGUCAAGAAGGAGAACCUCAAGGUGAACCCUGAGAUCGCGACGACGCAAUCGGAAGGCGACCUGGAGUCGUCGUUCGCGCCGGGCUCGUCGUUCGGGUUCAAUGUGAUCCUGGAGCUGGAGAAGGAGCCUGACACCGAUGACGCCAUUGAUGUGGAGCUGUCCGACUCCAUGGACGCUCCUGACGUGUUGCAGUCCGACUCUGAAGAGCCUUCUGAAGAGGAGCCUGCCUCCUCCUCCUGA